rnacentral:rRNA from 1 species
GGGUUGUGAGGUUAAGCGACUAAGCGUACACGGUGGAUGCCCUGGCAGUCAGAGGCGAUGAAGGACGUGCUAAUCUGCGAUAAGCGUCGGUAAGGUGAUAUGAACCGUUAUAACCGGCGAUUUCCGAAUGGGGAAACCCAGUGUGUUUCGACACACUAUCAUUAACUGAAUCCAUAGGUUAAUGAGGCGAACCGGGGGAACUGAAACAUCUAAGUACCCCGAGGAAAAGAAAUCAACCGAGAUUCCCCCAGUAGCGGCGAGCGAACGGGGAGGAGCCCAGAGCCUGAAUCAGUGUGUGUGUUAGUGGAAGCGUCUGGAAAGGCGCGCGAUACAGGGUGACAGCCCCGUACACAAAAAUGCACAUGCUGUGAGCUCGAUGAGUAGGGCGGGACACGUGGUAUCCUGUCUGAAUAUGGGGGGACCAUCCUCCAAGGCUAAAUACUCCUGACUGACCGAUAGUGAACCAGUACCGUGAGGGAAAGGCGAAAAGAACCCCGGCGAGGGGAGUGAAAAAGAACCUGAAACCGUGUACGUACAAGCAGUGGGAGCACAGAGCAAUCUG